ensembl:snRNA U6 U6 spliceosomal RNA
GGUGCUUGCUUCAGCAGCGCAUCAUAUACUAAAAUUGGAAUGAUAUGGAGAUUAGCAUGGCCCCUGCACACGGAUGACAUGCAAAUUUGUGAUGCAUUCCAUAUUUUA